GAUGAACGCUGGCGGCGUGCUUAACACAUGCAAGUCGAACGAUGAAGCCCAGCUUGCUGGGUGGAUUAGUGGCGAACGGGUGAGUAACACGUGAGUAACCUGCCCUUAACUCUGGGAUAAGCCUGGGAAACUGGGUCUAAUACCGGAUAGGAGCGUCCACCGCAUGGUGGGUGUUGGAAAGAUUUAUCGGUUUUGGAUGGACUCGCGGCCUAUCAGCUUGUUGGUGAGGUAAUGGCUCACCAAGGCGACGACGGGUAGCCGGCCUGAGAGGGUGACCGGCCACACUGGGACUGAGACACGGCCCAGACUCCUACGGGAGGCAGCAGUGGGGAAUAUUGCACAAUGGGCGCAAGCCUGAUGCAGCGACGCCGCGUGAGGGAUGACGGCCUUCGGGUUGUAAACCUCUUUCAGUAGGGAGAAGCGAAAGUGACGGUACCUGCAGAAGAAGCACCGGCUAACUACGUG
rnacentral:rRNA from 1 species